CACAUGCAGCUCAGAUUACGUCUAAAAGCAGGUAAGCCAGCUGCAGCUCUUCUCAGCCCAAUUCAGAGCAAAGGCAGAGUCUCCUCUCCUACAGGAAGAAGAGGGGAGCAAGUGCAACCAUGCAGAGCACGGCAGCGUGAAUGCAAAGAACUCUCUUUGCCGGAGAGACUCUCCUCAAGACCUGGCUGGGAGGGAGGGAGUAGGUGCCCCUCUCAGAGCGCCAUUCGCCUGCCUGGAAGCAUCACUUCGUGGCAUUUUGCAAGCCUACGCUGAGAACAGAGCUGUCGGUGAAGCCAGGUGAAGCUGUAUGGACCAGCACUACCACUUCUCCAGCAGUCACUGGGAUGCACUGGCUAGGCACUGGGCAGUUUUGCCAUCUGCAUGUCCUUCAGUGUCAGCCUUCUCAUGUGCUUCAAAGAAGACUCCUUAGAAGUUUUCCAUGGAGUUGCCAGGCUCUGCAGACCAUAAGCUGGAAAGCAAUGAUUUAGGUUGUUGAAGACAGAAUCGUUUCUUUCUCAGGAGGCAAUUCUGUAUAAACCAGACUAAACAUGUCAAUCUAUGACUGUGACUGGGGAAGUGCUGGAGAAUGUCUCUCACAUCAUGAAUAAAAUGUUAAAUGGAGAACUUGGAAUGUCACCUCUAAAUGUCAAGAAGAGCCAUCAAAGGGGUCUGCUUGAGUCUGGUCCAAGACAGAAAGGGCCAUGUGAUGGACUUGCAAGCAACCUACCCAGUUUGAUGCUCAGAAACUUAAAGGCAAAGGGCAACAUUUUGAAGUGCUUUGCCUCACCUGGCUGCAAGAACAGAAGGAUGUAAAUAAUGCCAAGAUGUGUAUUUGAACAGCUUUAAAAUUCUAUUUGAAUGUAACAAACUCAUCAGAUGUGAUUUCUAAGAAAAGAAAAGAAAUGUCACCCAGAUUUAAAAAAUAA